rnacentral:rRNA from 1 species
UACGUAGGGUGCGAGCGUUAAUCGGAAUUACUGGGCGUAAAGCGUGCGCAGGCGGUUCGUUGUGUCUGUCGUGAAAUCCCCGGGCUUAACCUGGGAAUGGCGAUGGAAACUGACGAGCUUGAGUGUGGCAGAGGGGGGUGGAAUUCCGGGUGUAGCGGUGGAAUGCGUAGAGAUCCGGAAGAACACCGGAGGCGAAGGCGGCUGGCUGGGCCUGAUCUGACGCUGAGGUGCGAAAGCGUGGGGAGCGAACAGG